rnacentral:lncRNA from 1 species
CAGAGUGUUACAGCACUGGAGAAGAUAAUAUCCCGUCAAAAAGACGUCCUCUGAGGCUUUACUGGGAGAUCUUCUUAAACUGAUUGUCCUUCCAUCCAAAAACUUCUAUGAUUAA